AGUGAACGCUGGCGGUAGGCCUAACACAUGCAAGUCGAACGGCAGCACAGGAGAGCUUGCUCUCUGGGUGGCGAGUGGCGGACGGGUGAGGAAUACAUCGGAAUCUACUCUGUCGUGGGGGAUAACGUAGGGAAACUUACGCUAAUACCGCAUACGACCUACGGGUGAAAGCAGGGGUCCUUCGGGCCUGGCGCGAUUGAAUGAGCCGAUGUCGGAUUAGCUAGUUGGCGGGGUAAAGGCCCACCAAGGCGACGAUCCGUAGCUGGUCUGAGAGGACGAUCAGCCACACUGGAACUGAGACACGGCCCAGACUCCUACGGGAGGCAGCAGUGGGGAAUCUUGGGCAAUGGGGGAAACCCUGAUCCAGCGAUGCCGCGUGUGUGAAGAAGGCCUUCGGGUUGUAAAGCACUUUAGUUGGGGAAGAAAAGUAAUAAGUAACUAAUUUAUUGCUCUGACGGUACCCAAAGAAUAAGCACCGGCUAACUCUGUGCCAGCCGCCGCCGUAA
rnacentral:rRNA from 1 species